GACGAACGCUGGCGGCGUGCCUAAUACAUGCAAGUCGUGCGGACCUUUUAAAAGCUUGCUUUUAAAAGGUUAGCGGCGGACGGGUGAGUAACACGUGGGCAACCUGCCUGUAAGACUGGGAUAACGCCGGGAAACCGGGGCUAAUACCGGAUCGUUUUUCCUCCCCAUGGUGUAAAAAGGAAAGGCGGCUUCUGCUGCCACUUACAGAUGGGCCCGCGGCGCAUUAGCUAGUUGGCGGGGUAACGGCCCACCAAGGCAACGAUGCGUAGCCGACCUGAGAGGGUGAUAGGCCACAUUGGGACUGAGACACGGCCCAAACUCCUACGGGAGGCAGCAGUAGGGAAUCUUACGCAAUGGACGAAAGACUGACGGAGCAACGCCGCGUGAGUGAAGAAGGCCUUCGGGUCGUAAAAAUCUGUGGCCGGGGAAGAACAAGUGCCGUUCGAACAGGGAGGCGCCUUGACGGUACCCGGCCAGAAAGCCACGGCUAACUAAGUG
rnacentral:rRNA from 1 species